GAUGUUGGGUUAAGUCCCGCAACGAGCGCAACCCUUGUCAUUAGUUGCUACAUUUAGUUGGGCACUCUAGUGAGACUGCCGGUGACAAACCGGAGGAAGGUGGGGAUGACGUCAAGUCCUCAUGGCCCUUACGGGCUGGGCUACACACGUGCUACAAUGGCGGUGACAGUGGGAUGCAAAGGGGCGACCCCUCGCAAAUCUCCAAAAGCCAUCUCAGUUCGGAUUGCACUCUGCAACUCGAGUGCAUGAAGGCGGAAUCGCUAGUAAUCGUGGAUCAGCAUGCCACGGUGAAUACGUUCCCGGGCCUUGUACACACCGCCCGUCACGUCACGAAAGUCGGCAACACCCGAAGCCGGUGGCCCAACCCUUGUGGAGGGAGCCGUCGAAGGUGGGAUCGGUAAUUAGGACUAAGUCGUAACAAGGUAGCCGUACCGGAAGGUGCGGCUGGAUCACCUCCUU
rnacentral:rRNA from 1 species